rnacentral:rRNA from 1 species
AACGAACGCUGGCGGCAGGCCUAACACAUGCAAGUCGAGCGCGCCCUUCGGGGUGAGCGGCGGACGGGUGAGUAACGCGUGGGAACGUGCCCUUUUCUACGGAAUAGCCUCGGGAAACUGAGAGUAAUACCGUAUACGCCCUUUGGGGGAAAGAUUUAUCGGAAAAGGAUCGGCCCGCGUUGGAUUAGGUAGUUGGUGGGGUAAUGGCCUACCAAGCCGACGAUCCAUAGCUGGUUUGAGAGGAUGAUCAGCCACACUGGGACUGAGACACGGCCCAGACUCCUACGGGAGGCAGCAGUGGGGAAUCUUAGACCAUGGGGGCAACCCUGAUCUAGCCAUGCCGCGUGAGUGAUGAAGGCCUUAGGGUUGUAAAGCUCUUUCAGCUGGGAAGAUAAUGACGGUACCAGCAGAAGAAGCCCCGGCUAACUCCGUG